CAGUCGCCGCGGUAAAACGAAGGGUGCAAGCGUUAAUCGGAAUUACUGGGCGUAAAGCGUGCGUAGGCGGUUUGUUAAGUCUGUUGUGAAAUCCCCGGGCUCAACCUGGGAAUGGCAAUGGAUACUGGCAAGCUAGAGUGUGUCAGAGGAUGGUGGAAUUCCCGGUGUAGCGGUGAAAUGCGUAGAGAUCGGGAGGAACAUCAGUGGCGAAGGCGGCCAUCUGGGACAACACUGACGCUGAGGCACGAAAGCGUGGGGAGCAAACAGGAUUAGAUACCCGCGUAGUCCCUGUCUCUUAUAC
rnacentral:rRNA from 1 species